rnacentral:rRNA from 1 species
UGGGGAAUAUUGGACAAUGGGGGCAACCCUGAUCCAGCAAUGCCGCGUGUGUGAAGAAGGCCUGCGGGUUGUAAAGCACUUUCAGUAGAGAAGAAAAGCUCAUGGUUAAUACCCGUGAGUCUUGACGUAACCUACAGAAGAAGCACCGGCUAACUCCGUGCCAGCAGCCGCGGUAAUACGGAGGGUGCGAGCGUUAAUCGGAAUUACUGGGCGUAAAGCGCGCGUAGGCGGUUUGUUAAGUCGGAUGUGAAAGCCCCGGGCUCAACCUGGGAAUUGCACCCGAUACUGGCCGACUGGAGUGCGAGAGAGGGAGGUAGAAUUCCACGUGUAGCGGUGAAAUGCGUAGAUAUGUGGAGGAAUACCGGUGGCGAAGGCGGCCUCCUGGCUCGACACUGACGCUGAGGUGCGAAAGCGUGGGGAGCAAACAGGAUUAGAUACCCGCGUAGUCC